CACGAAGGGGAGGGGGAAUCAUAUUCAUUUCACCCUAGGUUUUAAUUUAAUUCUGGGGACAGAGCAAAACAGGUCAGGAGCCCGAGCCUGCUGCUCUUGAAACCGAGAGCGGGCCCCACUGAUUGCGCGGGACCCAACUCCGUUCAAUAGAUUGUUUGCAUGAUUAUUAGUGGAUUGAAUUAGCUGAUUUAUUUUGGACUGUCUGGCAUUACAAGCGUGGCCUGGUGCCUGCCGAUCAGGUUCUGCAGAGCCGGGCUUGCAGGAUCCAUGUCCCAAAUGGGUGCCUUGAGAACAUGGAUCAUUUAAAUCGGGCUGAUCGGGCAGAGGCGGAGUGUAGGGCUUUGCAGCGUGCCAAUCACCGCUACAAUUCUGCUUAUGGCAGGCGGUCGCGAUCCCCAAUGCGCUGCAGGGAGCGAUGCUGUCUGCGGUUGUGAACACCUUGGCCACGUGUCUCCCUCCCUGGGUGGCAUCACAGAUGAAGGAGAUCAGGGCUAUGGAUGGCUGCCGUGGCUGACCUCCUGCAGCAAAGAUUGAUUGAUUUUAAUUUUAUUGGCCAGCCUCUCCCAAUUAAGUGAGUAAUUAGUAACCCAAUUAAAUAACUGAGUAAAAAGCAAUCCCCAGGAAGGGGGAGGGAGAAAAAAAAAGCAAGCAAGCAAGCAAGCAAGCAAGCAGAACCGCCUGUCCGGAGUAACUCAGGCCCUGACUCACACUCCCAGCUUCCAGCCCUACAGCAUUCACAAGGAGCAGGACCGGCUCGGGGGAACGAGAAGAGGCGCAGGCGGUAGACUUGCACUUGUUCGACCGGCCGAGAAUCCAGCCUCUGCCGCAGCGUGACGGGCAGCUCUGCGGAAAAGCUGAAACCCUGUAGAACUCCACAUGAUCUGGAUGGGAGAGUUCUGAGAGCAGUGACCAGUCAGAAUACAGGGAUUUGCAUAUUUCAGUCGCUGACAAUUACUAUACACCUUUCCUCCACUCUGAGUGGCUGAGACUAGGCCUAAGUUUGUCCAGAAAAAGAUAUUAUCUCACCCACCUUGACGCUUUAAUAUUCUGGGACCAGUAGGGCUACAACAACACUGCAUACAUUUUAUAUUUUUGGUGUAAGUGCAAACUCCCUUUACUCACAUGAAAGGUCUGUAAAGAAGUUGACGAUGCAUUUGGGCUAGAUGCAAACCCCAUUAAGGCCAAAGGGAGUCUUUCCAUGGACUUCACUGGGCUUUGGCUCAGGCAGUGCCCCUUGCAGCAUUUUGAUGCAAUGGAGGAGUGAAGAGUAUUCAUUGGUCUUCUGCGAUUGGUGGUGAGAAGUGGCAGGAGAGAUUGAGACUGAUUCUCAUCUUGGCAUGUAAAGAUCCAGAGUGUCCCUUGUCUCAUCAAUCAAGAAGCUUACAGAGGCACCAGCAGCAGAAGAUAGGGAGUCAGCAGCCUUGGGCACAUGAAAACUGAUCACAACAGGAGGACAGUAAACGCAUGUGCAAUGUGAUGAAUCUGGUUUGCCGACACAAUUGCCAUAAAUUGCAGCACUUCCCUUUGCAGCAGAUGGUUGAAUGCUGUCUCAAGCGGAAGGACUUGGAGGAUGGAGGAAUGAUCCUCCAGGGCAGUAUGCAUUCUAUAUUCAUACAUAAUGCUAUUGUUUUCCUUAGUGCAAACACUUAAGCUGUAUGCAUGCAAGUCAGUCUUUCUCCUCUGUUCAUCUUCAGAGUUGCUGAACUGUCUCUUACAAAACAUACAGAAUCAGAUAUUUAGGAAACAUCAUAGAGGACUUUCGUAGUACACCAAAGAAACAGAUGGUUGGAUAGAAGAAUAUAUUAUCAAUUAUGUUUGCUUUGAAGAAUAUUUCCUGUCAAUAAAGCACAGCAUUUUAAAA